rnacentral:rRNA from 1 species
CAACCCUCGAACCCCUCCGGGGGGUCGGCGUUGGGGAUCGGCCCUCCCUUAGCGGGUGGCCGUCUCCGAAAUACAGUGGCGGUCUCGCCGCAGCCUCUCCUGCGCAGUAGUUUGCACACUCGCAUCGGGAGCGCGGCGCGUCCACAGCCGUUAAACACCCAACUUCUGAAAUG